rnacentral:rRNA from 1 species
AUGGCGAGUUCGUCGUGUGAGAACACGGAGGCGAGGGCGAAGUCGGCGGCGCCCGCAAGAAGGGAGAAGAGGAUCAUGAUGAAGACGAAGAAAAUGAAGGUCGUGAAGCGGCGACCUCACAUGAAGCUGCUGCCGACGUCGUGCCAGAAGUGGGAGCCUCUCCGCUCACUAGACUCAGAGUUUCUGAGAAAUAUCACGGCCCUCAUCGCCACCGAGUCGGGCUUCUCGCUGGACAAGUAUCUUCGGCUGGACAACAUGGCUGACGUACUCAAGGCGGAAAACGACUUGCUCGCGGAGCUCGGCGAGCAGUACCAAGACAAGGGCUUCUGCUAA